rnacentral:rRNA from 1 species
UACGUAGGGUGCAAGCGUUGUCCGGAAUUAUUGGGCGUAAAGAGCUCGUAGGCGGUUUGUCGCGUCGAAUGUGAAAACCCGGGGCUCAACCCCGGGCCUGCAUUCGAUACGGGCAGACUAGAGUUCGGUAGGGGAGUCUGGAAUUUCCGGUGUAGCGGUGAAAUGCGUAGAUAUCGGAAGGAACACCAGUGGCGAAAGCGGCUUCCUGGUCCAGCACCGACGUUCAGGCACGAAAGCGUGGGGAGCAAACAGG